AAAAGCUCUGGAAAUCACGUACUGCUCAAUUCAAUUCAGAAGGUGUGAGUUCCUAAGGAGCAUUUUCACUUCCUUUCAAACUUAAAAAAUUGUGGUCCAAGGAAUGACAUGGGAUUCUGACUUUUUAUGACCCAUGCUAACUGAUUUGGUGACUUCUGCCAGUGCAGGAGGCUCGGAUUUUCCCCUGAAAGAGCGCCCUGCUCAUCUCAGAAAGGUUCAGGCUGUCGGGUCCAUUCCGCAAGGACUCGCUUCAUGUAUUUCCUUUACAAGUCAGAAAUGGAAAAAGAGGAAAUUACCAUCCCACAUCUUUUCUUGAUGUGUAUGAAUGCGUCUGCCUCCAACUCUGAGGGUUUCUUCUCCAAUCAGGAAAAAGUUGACAUUUGCCACCAAGUCAGUACGCUUCUAAGCUUUCAUUUUAUUUCAUCAGGACUGACUGAGCGUCAGCAUUCUGGCCGAGUCCUGCAGUUUUACCCACUGUGCAGGUCAGCGUUUUCUUCAAGGACUCUGGCCCUGGCUUGCUGGCAUCCUCAGAGUGUCUGGAUGUUACCCAGGGGCUUCCUCUCACCUCACCUUCAUUCUUGUUCCUUGUUCUUAGAUGGAUGGGAGGUUCAGUUGUUGGAAACUACCAGUUAGACUAAGAAAGCUGGACUUCUUUCAUACUCCUUAAGGCAAGUAGGGUAUAAGUAAGUGGCCUGUUGGCUGAUCUCAAACAUGAGAGAGCAUUAGGUUCAUUAAUAAUAUUCUGACUUUUUCUUAUCUAAGCCAGUUUACUGAUUAAGAAAUCAUCUGGUGAAAUUAAUCUCAAAUAUUUUUAAAUGCUCAAAGAACAUAUUGCUUCAGCUUCAUUAAAUACUUGUCUAAACACCUGGAAAAAAUUUCCACCUCCGUUUCACAAUACUUUGUGUAGUGAAACCUGAUGGAGUGAUAGUGUGUUAGUUAUUAUGGAAAUAUUGUGGACAAUUCACAAGCAGAGUGUUUGUUCCAUAAAAUUAAACCUGAAAUAUGUUUGCUUGCUCUUAAGUUAGAAGUAUUGACAAGCAGGAAACAAAAA
ensembl:lncRNA novel transcript, sense intronic to FARP1